UCCUACGGGAGGCAGCAGUGAGGAAUAUUGGGCAAUGGACGAAAGUCUGACCCAGCAACGCCGCGUGGAGGAUGAAUGCCGUAAGGUUGUAAACUCCUUUUGAGAGGGACGAAAACCCAUAUUUCGUAAGGGAUAUGGUUUGACUGUACCUCUAGAAGAAGCCCCGGCUAGCUACGUGCCAGCAGCCGCGGUAAUACGUAGGGGGCAAGCGUUGUCCGGAUUUACUGGGUGUAAAGGACGCGUAGGCGGAUUUGUAAGUCAGAGGUGAAAGCCCGCAGCUUAACUGCGGAACUGCCUUUGAUACUGCUUAUCUUGAGUUCGGAAGAGAGAAGCGGAAUUCCAGGUGUAGUAGUGAAAUACGUAGAUAUCUGGAAGAACACCUGUGGCGAAGGCGAUUUCCUGGCCUAAAACUGACACUGAGACGCGAAAGCUAGGGGAGCAAACAGGAUUAGAUACCCCGGUAGUCCAAGCCG
rnacentral:rRNA from 1 species